rnacentral:rRNA from 1 species
GACGUAGGGGCCAGCGUUGUUCGGAAUUACUGGGUGUAAAGGGUUCGUAGGCGGUGUGGCAAGUCGGGAGUGAAAUCUCUGGGCUCAACCCAGAGUCUGCUUCCGAAACUGCUGUGCUUGAGUGUGGGAGAGGCGCGUGGAAUUGCAGGUGUAGCGGUGAAAUGCGUAGAUAUCUGCAGGAACACCCGUGGCGAAAGCGGCGCGCUGGACCACUACUGACGCUGAGGAACGAAAGCUAGGGGAGCAAACAGG